rnacentral:lncRNA from 10 species
UUUCUGGAACAACUGACGGCUGAGGUCAGCUGGAGGUUUCUGGCGGUGGGAAAAAGUGGAAGAUGCAGGCCAGAGGAAGGAUGCUGCCUGACCGACCACAGCCAGCUCUGCCUAGCAGCCCCGAGAGCAGGCAGAGGAGGGAGCAGGAAGAGACCACAGCUGAUCCCAGCCUUCCUGGCCCUGACGAUUUCACCUUCCCCAUCCAACCUUUGAAUGAGAAGCAAAGUGGGCCAGGCACCAUGGCUCAUGCCUGUAAUCCCAGCGCUUUGGGAGGCUGAGGUGCG